GGUGAGGUUUUAUUUCCCACUUUUCCUUUCUCCUUCUUCUCGAAUGUUCUCUCUCUGUCUCUUACUUCGACCUCCAUUGUUGUGCAAUCCAAGCUUGAGCCAACCUUUACUUUGAGCAAUUAACAUGGUAUCAGAGCCUAGUCAUUCCAAUAUAUCAUCUCUCAAUUAUCCAUUUCUCCUUUGUGUUCGUCGAUUUUGCCUUUUUCCUCAAUUCGAUUGAUUUCUGAGAGCGGUUUCGUUUUUGCCCUAAUUGAUUGUCUGAGAAGGGUCUUUUUUUCCCAAAGUGUAAUACUAACACAAUUAAUCUCAAUCACUCAUGGCCGUUGAUGAUUUGAGUGAUGUGGCCAGCACAAAUGUGCACAUCGAAGUUCCAUGAAAUUCCGGAAUCAAUCAAGGUGAUCCCUUGUAUCUGCACCCGUUGGAUAAUCCCAGUGCUAUCAUUGUUUCCAUUCCUUUCAGUGGUGUUGAUUAUCAUUUAUGGAGGCGUAGUGUAUUGCGAGGCCUGUCAGUAAAAAACAAGCUAGGGUUUAUAAAUAGUGAAUGCAAGCGUCUGGACCCUCACUCACCAUAUUGCGUCAAUGGGAGCGAUGUGAUGACACAGUGACUUCAUGGAUUCUUAAUUCCCUGUCGAAGGAAAUUGCAGAUAGUGUUGAAUAUGCAAAUGAUGCUAUGGAGCUGUGGAUUGAGCUAGAAGAUCAGUAUGAGCAGACAAAUGGAGCUUGACUGUACCAAAUCCAAAAGGAAAUAAACGAUACAUCUCAGUGAACUCUUGAUAUUACUAAUUACUACACCAAAUUGAAGAAACUCUGGGAAGAAUUGAGCACCUUGAGUAAAAAAGUCUCAAUGCAGUUGCAACUGUACUUGUGGCGCGAAGGAAAAUUUCUACAAAGCUGAGCAGGACAGGAGACUAAUACAAUUCCUCAUGGGGUUGAAUGAAACCUACACAGUGAUUGGAGGAAGCAUCCUCAUGACGAACCCAUUACCAAGCUUAGCUCAAGCUUUUUCUAUCCUAAUACAAGAUGAAAAGCAAAGGGAAAUCAAGCCACACACUCAGCUAUUUAUCAAAUCAACUUCUAUGAAUGCUGCUAGUUCUAGGUCCAAUACUUAUAGGACCAACUAUUUGUUCAAUAACAACAACUAUGGUAGACAAGGAAGGGGAAGACCUAUAUGUGAUUACUACAGAAAGCCAGGGCAUACUAAGGAAAAAUGUUUCAAAUUACAUGGCUACCCUGAGAGUUCUAGAUAUCCUCGCAAUCAAAAUCAAAAUCCAAACCAAAACUCCAACCAGAAUCAGGGAUUCAAUCGGAACCAGAAUUAUAACAAGGGAAAGAGAAUAGUGGCAAAUGUACAUGGAAAUCAGUCCUCUGACAUGUUAUCCAACAAGGGAGAAGAACAAAAUGAUUUGAAUGAAGAACAGAACAUUAGCCUGUCAAAGGAGCAAUAUGGGCAAAUCAUGAAUCUGCUCCAACACUUUCAAGCUGGGAAUUGAGGAGAGAAUGCAGGUGCCACCAAUCUUAUCGAUAGGGCUGUGAACUUUAUAGGCCCCUUCAAUGAAGAGGCAUCUGGAGAUUGGUAAGGCUUGUGAUGGGAUGUACCUUCUUUGCCCAAAAUGUCUGAGAAACAAGUACUCAGGUUCUACCGUUAGCAACUCAGUUUCUUGCCUUGGUAAUAAGGCUCAUUGCACACAUAACUUACACUUUCACAUUGAUUCAUUUGUAUGUAGUUCAUUGUCCACAAAUAAGUGUGUAUCUUAUCCACCUGUAAAUGGUCCAUGUUUGAAUAAUAAAAACCUUAGUCUGAAUUUUUGUGUA